rnacentral:tRNA from 1 species
GCAUCGAUAGCUCAACUGGAUAGAGCACCCGGCUUCGGACCGGGCGGUUAGGGGUUCGAAUCCCUUUCGGUGCG